GUGCUCGCUUCGGCAGCACAUAUUUUAAAAUUGAAACGAUACAGAGAAGACUAGCAUGGCCCCUGCACAAGGAUGACAUGCAAAUUUGUUUAUGAAAAGAAAGAAAUAUGC